GAUGCUCAAGUUCCAGCCGCUGUCCCCAGAGCCACUGCAGAUGUGUCCAGUCCCGCUCAGCCAUGCAGUAUUGUCUCCACAGCUCAUUCUGGGGCAUUAUUGCAAGGUCCAUCUGUAGUUCCGCUUCCUCGUUUGUGGUCGGAGACCUUGCCUCCAGAGGAUUACAAGUGGAUUGGCAAAAGGCUUUUCAAAAUGGGAUCCAAGGGAAAGCCAGAGCUUCGUGAUAACCUCCAGCUCUGCUGUGGAGGGUUAAGGUUCUCUGUCCCAAUCCUGCCUGUGGACAACAUCAGCUGACAGGAGGUGGUCUGCACAAAAGGUCACGGCAGGUUCUAGACAUUGACAGAACGUACA